UGCGCAGGCGGCCUGCUAAGUCAGGGGUGAAAUAUGACGGCUCAACCGUCAAACUGCCCCUGAAACUGGCUGGCUUGAGUCCGGGAGAGGAAGGUGGAAUUCCAGGUGUAGCGGUGAAAUGCGUAAAUAUCUGGAGGAACACCAGUGGCGAAGGCGGCCUUCUGGCCCGGAACUGACGCUCAGGCACGAAAGCAUGGGGAGCGAACG
rnacentral:rRNA from 1 species